GACGAACGCUGGCGGCGCGCCUAACACAUGCAAGUCGAACGAGCAAGAGAGAGCUUGCUUUCUCAAGCGAGUGGCGAACGGGUGAGUAACGCGUGAGGAACCUGCCUCAAAGAGGGGGACAACAGUUGGAAACGACUGCUAAUACCGCAUAAGCCCACGACCCGGCAUCGGGUAGAGGGAAAAGGAGCAAUCCGCUUUGAGAUGGCCUCGCGUCCGAUUAGCUAGUUGGUGAGGUAACGGCCCACCAAGGCGACGAUCGGUAGCCGGACUGAGAGGUUGAACGGCCACAUUGGGACUGAGACACGGCCCAGACUCCUACGGGAGGCAGCAGUGGGGAAUAUUGCACAAUGGGGGAAACCUUGAUGCAGCGACGCCGCGUGGAGGAAGAAGGUCUUCGGAUUGUAAACUCCUGUUGUUGAGGAAGAUAAUGACGGUACUCAACAAGGAAGUGACGGCUAACUACGUGCCAGCAGCCGCGGUAAAACGUAGGUCACAAGCGUUGUCCGGGAAUUACUGGGUGUAAAGGGAGCGCAGGCGGGAAGACAAGUUGGAAGUGAAAUCCAUGGGCUCAACCCAUGAACUGCUUUCAAAACUGUUUUUCUUGAGUAGUGCAGAGGUAGGCGGAAUUCCCGGUGUAGCGGUGGAAUGCGUAGAUAUCGGGAGGAACACCAGUGGCGAAGGCGGCCUACUGGGCACCAACUGACGCUGAGGCUCGAAAGUGUGGGUAGCAAACAGGAUUAGAUACCCUGGUAGUCCACACUGUAAACGAUGAUUACUAGGUGUUGGAGGAUUGACCCCUUCAGUGCCGCAGUUAACACAAUAAGUAAUCCACCUGGGGAGUACGACCGCAAGGUUGAAACUCAAAGGAAUUGACGGGGGCCCGCACAAGCAGUGGAGUAUGUGGUUUAAUUCGACGCAACGCGAAGAACCUUACCAAGUCUUGACAUCCUGCGACGGUGCUGGAAACAGUACUUUCCUUCGGGACGCAGAGACAGGUGGUGCAUGGUUGUCGUCAGCUCGUGUCGUGAGAUGUUGGGUUAAGUCCCGCAACGAGCGCAACCCUUAUGGUCAGUUACUACGCAAGAGGACUCUGGCCAGACUGCCGUUGACAAAACGGAGGAAGGUGGGGAUGACGUCAAAUCAUCAUGCCCUUUAUGACUUGGGCUACACACGUACUACAAUGGCGUUAAACAAAGAGAAGCAAGACCGCGAGGUGGAGCAAAACUCAGAAACAACGUCCCAGUUCGGACUGCAGGCUGCAACUCGCCUGCACGAAGUCGGAAUUGCUAGUAAUCGCAGAUCAGCAUGCUGCGGUGAAUACGUUCCCGGGCCU
rnacentral:rRNA from 1 species